rnacentral:rRNA from 1 species
UACGUAGGGACCGAGCGUUGUCCGGAAUCAUUGGGCGUAAAGCGCGUGUAGGCGGUCCGGUAAGUCCGCUGUGAAAGUCGGGGGCUCAACCCUCGGAUGCCGGUGGAUACUGUCGGGCUUGAGUACGGAAGAGGCGAGUGGAAUUCCUGGUGUAGCGGUGAAAUGCGUAGAUAUCUGGAGGAACACCGGUGGCGAAGGCGGCAUCCUGGACCGAGAUUGACGCUGAUGCGCGAAAGCCAGGGGAGCAAACGGG